rnacentral:rRNA from 1 species
UACAUGGGGUGCAAACGUUGCUCGGAAUUAUUGGGCGUAAAGCGCACGUAGGCGGUUCGUUAAGUCAGAUGUGAAAUCCCACGGCUCAACCGUGGAAGUGCACUCGAAACUGCGCAGCUAGAGUCCUGGAGAGGAAGGUGGAAUGCUUGGUGUAGAGGUGAAAUUCGUAGAUAUCAAGCGGAACACCGGUGGCGAAGGCGGCCUUCUGGACAGUGACUGACGCUGAGAUGCGAAAGCGUGGGGAGCAAACAGG